GGUUAAGCGACUAAGCGUACACGGUGGAUGCCCUGGCAGUCAGAGGCGAUGAAGGGCGUGCUAAUCUGCGAUAAGCGCCGGUAAGGUGAUAUGAACCGUUAUAACCGGCGAUACCCGAAUGGGGAAACCCAGUGUGACUCGUCACACUAUCAUUAACUGAAUCCAUAGGUUAAUGAGGCGAACCGGGGGAACUGAAACAUCUAAGUACCCCGAGGAAAAGAAAUCAACCGAGAUUCCCCCAGUAGCGGCGAGCGAACGGGGAGGAGCCCAGAGCCUGAAUCAGCAUGUGUGUUAGUGGAAGCGUCUGGAAAGGCGCGCGAUACAGGGUGACAGCCCCGUACACAAAAGCGCAUGUGCUGUGAGCUCGAUGAGUAGGGCGGGACACGUGGUAUCCUGUCUGAAUAUGGGGGGACCAUCCUCCAAGGCUAAAUACUCCUGACUGACCGAUAGUGAACCAGUACCGUGAGGGAAAGGCGAAAAGAACCCCGGCGAGGGGAGUGAAAAAGAACCUGAAACCGUGUACGUACAAGCAGUGGGAGCACAGGUUUACCUGUGUGACUGCGUACCUUUUGUAUAAUGGGUCAGCGACUUAUAUUCUGUAGCAAGGUUAACCGAAUAGGGGAGCCGGAGGGAAACCGAGUCUUAAUUGGGCGUUAAGUUGCAGGGUAUAGACCCGAAACCCGGUGAUCUAGCCAUGGGCAGGUUGAAGGUUGGGUAACACUAACUGGAGGACCGAACCGACUAAUGUUGAAAAAUUAGCGGAUGACCUGUGGCUGGGGGUGAAAGGCCAAUCAAACCGGGAGAUAGCUGGUUCUCCCCGAAAGCUAUUUAGGUAGCGCCUCGUGAAUUCAUCUCCGGGGGUAGAGCACUGUUUCGGCUAGGGGGCCAUCCCGGCUUACCAACCCGAUGCAAACUGCGAAUACCGGAGAAUGUUAUCACGGGAGACACACGGCGGGUGCUAACGUCCGUCGUGAAGAGGGAAACAACCCAGACCGCCAGCUAAGGUCCCAAAGUCAUGGUUAAGUGGGAAACGAUGUGGGAAGGCCCAGACAGCCAGGAUGUUGGCUUAGAAGCAGCCAUCAUUUAAAGAAAGCGUAAUAGCUCACUGGUCGAGUCGGCCUGCGCGGAAGAUGUAACGGGGCUAAACCAUGCACCGAAGCUGCGGCAGCGAACGUAUCACUUAAAGCGAUUCAGCGGGUUACGAUUGACGGAGCGAAGCGACGUCAAAGCGUAUACAAAGUCGAGUCGGUUUAAGGAUACGUUCGUUGGGUAGGGGAGCGUUCUGUAAGCCUGUGAAGGUGUGUCGUGAGGCAUGCUGGAGGUAUCAGAAGUGCGAAUGCUGACAUAAGUAACGAUAAAGCGGGUGAAAAGCCCGCUCGCCGGAAGACCAAGGGUUCCUGUCCAACGUUAAUCGGGGCAGGGUGAGUCGACCCCUAAGGCGAGGCCGAAAGGCGUAGUCGAUGGGAAACGGGUUAAUAUUCCCGUACUUGGUGUUACUGCGAAGGGGGGACGGAGAAGGCUAUGUUGGCCGGGCGACGGUUGUCCCGGUUUAAGCGUGUAGGUGUGUGUUCCAGGUAAAUCCGGUUCACUUUAACACUGAGGCGUGAUGACGAGGCACUACGGUGCUGAAGCAACAAAUGCCCUGCUUCCAGGAAAAGCCUCUAAGCAUCAGGUAACAUCAAAUCGUACCCCAAACCGACACAGGUGGUCAGGUAGAGAAUACCAAGGCGCUUGAGAGAACUCGGGUGAAGGAACUAGGCAAAAUGGUGCCGUAACUUCGGGAGAAGGCACGCUGACACGUAGGUGAAGUGAUUUACUCAUGGAGCUGAAGUCAGUCGAAGAUACCAGCUGGCUGCAACUGUUUAUUAAAAACACAGCACUGUGCAAACACGAAAGUGGACGUAUACGGUGUGACGCCUGCCCGGUGCCGGAAGGUUAAUUGAUGGGGUCAGCGCAAGCGAAGCUCCUGAUCGAAGCCCCGGUAAACGGCGGCCGUAACUAUAACGGUCCUAAGGUAGCGAAAUUCCUUGUCGGGUAAGUUCCGACCUGCACGAAUGGCGUAAUGAUGGCCAGGCUGUCUCCACCCGAGACUCAGUGAAAUUGAACUCGCUGUGAAGAUGCAGUGUACCCGCGGCAAGACGGAAAGACCCCGUGAACCUUUACUAUAGCUUGACACUGAACAUUGAGCCUUGAUGUGUAGGAUAGGUGGGAGGCUUUGAAGCGUGGACGCCAGUCUGCGUGGAGCCGACCUUGAAAUACCACCCUUUAAUGUUUGAUGUUCUAACGUGGACCCGUGAUCCGGGUUGCGGACAGUGUCUGGUGGGUAGUUUGACUGGGGCGGUCUCCUCCUAAAGAGUAACGGAGGAGCACGAAGGUUGGCUAAUCCUGGUCGGACAUCAGGAGGUUAGUGCAAUGGCAUAAGCCAGCUUGACUGCGAGCGUGACGGCGCGAGCAGGUGCGAAAGCAGGUCAUAGUGAUCCGGUGGUUCUGAAUGGAAGGGCCAUCGCUCAACGGAUAAAAGGUACUCCGGGGAUAACAGGCUGAUACCGCCCAAGAGUUCAUAUCGACGGCGGUGUUUGGCACCUCGAUGUCGGCUCAUCACAUCCUGGGGCUGAAGUAGGUCCCAAGGGUAUGGCUGUUCGCCAUUUAAAGUGGUACGCGAGCUGGGUUUAGAACGUCGUGAGACAGUUCGGUCCCUAUCUGCCGUGGGCGCUGGAGAACUGAGGGGGGCUGCUCCUAGUACGAGAGGACCGGAGUGGACGCAUCACUGGUGUUCGGGUUGUCAUGCCAAUGGCACUGCCCGGUAGCUAAAUGCGGAAGAGAUAAGUGCUGAAAGCAUCUAAGCACGAAACUUGCCCCGAGAUGAGUUCUCCCUGAGACUUAAAGUCUCCUGAAGGAACGUUGAAGACGACGACGUUGAUAGGCCGGGUGUGUAAGCGCAGCGAUGCGUUGAGCUAACCGGUACUAAUGAACCGUGAGGCUUAACCUU
rnacentral:rRNA from 2 species